AUGAGGGCCCCCACUCAGCUCCUGGGGUUGCUGCUGCUCUGGCUUAGAGGAGCCAAAUGUGAUGUUCAGAUGACCCAGUCUCCAGCCUCCUUGUCUGCAUCUCUGGGAGAAAGUGUCACCAUGACAUGCCGGACUAGUCAGGAUAUUUACAGUGAUUUAGCAUGGUAUCAGCAGAAAACAAGGGAACCUCCUAAGUUCCUGAUCCGUGGUGCAAAAAACUUGGCAGAUGGGGUCCCAUCAAGGUUCAGUGGCAGUGGAUCUGGCACACAGUAUUAUCUUAAAAUCAGAAGCCUGCAGCCUGAAGACGUAGCAACUUAUUACUGCCAACAGUAUAGUGUUUUUCCUCCCACAGUGAUUCAAGUCAUAACAUAA